UACGUCUCAUUUAUUUCUGAAAAAUUCCUGCGCGAAAUCUCGUUCAUAAAAAUAGUGCCGAUAGGGGGUCGGAAUUACGUCGCUUUUAAGGUGGUUUUCGAUUGGAUAUGGUUAAAAUAACCACUAAUCAUAUAAGUUAAUACAUUUAUGUUCGCGGGCAAAGCACUUUCGUUUCCACACAGUUGCGUAGAAGAUUAAAAGAAAACCUCAGAAAAUUUCCGAGAUCGAGAAAAAUAGGUAAGAUACAUUGCCCAGUAGAAAAAUUGCUUUUAUUUUGUAGGUUAAUCAUUCUCCUUUCCAUUCAUGCCACUAAUUGCUUUGCAAAAUGCCGUGAUUCUGCUGGUUGUUGCUAAUGUAUGGACCGGUUUCAUGAAUGGCAAGAUGGCCGCCGUUGUUGACAAUUCAUACGACGUUAAUAUCAAUUGUUCUUUUUUUCCUCUGUAAAGUUGCCAAAAAAUGUGUUGUACGUGCAAAACAUCAUUGAAGGAUAUAUUUAUGCCGACAUUAUAUCGUAAUGACAUAUGUCUGAUACUAAUAAGUCAGAGUCUCAGGAUUGGGAAGAGUUUGACUCGGAGUCUGACAGUGAGCGUUCGGAGCCUGACAGUGAGCGUGUAUCACCGCAGCCAGGUCAAUUUAAACAAGACCGGGCUGCAAUAGCUGAAAAGUUGAAGAUUCCGCGUCAGAUUACCGCAAGAAGCUGCCGUUUGUGAAUGCGGCCCCGAUAGAGGAGAUUGAGGCAAAGAAGCUGAAGGCAGCAGGAGGAAAAGAAAAGAAAUCAGGAAGAAAUCGCCAUAGGCGAUAACUGAAUAUAAGAUUUUUUAAACCAUUGGAUAGGUUUGUUAUUCACCUAUCUUAGGAAAAAUACUUACAGAUCCAUUGAAGUUCAAAUAACUAGUGUUAGGUCUUAUUUAAAUAAGAAGAAUUUUGGUUUUUGAACCUAUUUAAUGAAGCAAAUGAUUUUACUUUUGUUAAACAUGUGUGACAGUGAACUAUUGUCUUCAUGUUAACCUUAUUUAAGUAUUGGCUGUUGUUCUUGUGGUGUAUUUAUAAUUUGAGGACUUAUUUUACCUAAUGGACAAUUUAUUUUAAUUGAGUGAACAACAUAUAAAACUUGUCAAAACUAUUGAAAGCCCCCAUAAGAAUUUCACCGUUUUGUAGUGACCACUAUGUCUGCUCAUGACACUGUCGGUCUGACAUGUGAGAGUGCAGUUGAAGUAAAUUGAUUCAUCAAUCGUCAUUUAUGAAAAAUUUCAAUCUUUGAGAUUAGUUUUUGCCUAUAUGCUACCUUUGACUGACAAAAAACCAACAUCAACAAUGUUUUUUUGUUUUUUUAUUUGAACAACUCGUCAUCGUGAUUGGGAGGCAUGUGUCAUUUUAAUUCAUCAUUAUGUAAUGUCUGGUAAUUGGACAUUUCACAAGUAUUUAUAUAUUGUGUAUGCACAACAAAUAUAAAUUGUGUCAACAAAUUAUGUGUUAGUUCCACAUUAGUUAUCAUUGAAAAUAAAACCUUAAAAAAGCUGCAGGAUUGUUGUUGAUAGCAGUAAAGACAAAGGCUAUUCACGCACAUAAAUAUGUAUUUGUAUGCCCCCUUUUAUUUUGCCAUAAACUGUGCAGUAAAAAGUGCAAAACCAAUAAAAAAUAUUUGUUAUUGAUAUGUAUUAAUGUGUUUUAUGUCUAAAAAGGCAUUCACAUAGAUAAAAAUAACUUAUAAAUGGCCAAAAUAGCUGGUUAAAUGCAAAUGUCAGUUGUUUGCUGGCAAUGAACCAGAUUUUUGGCUGAAAAAACAGCAGAAAAAUGCACCUAUUUUUUUACGUGUUUUAAAAAAAUCAUAAAAAAUCUAUUUUUCAUCCAAAUAAAAAAAGAAAGACAUCAUUAUGUUUGUUUUAAGUAGUAUAACAUCAAUGUCAAAUAUCAUUCAAAUAUUCCCAUUUAAAAAAAAUCAUUGCCUCUUG